AACGAACGCUGGCGGCAUGCCUAACACAUGCAAGUCGAACGAGAACUUCGGGUCUAGUGGCGCACGGGUGCGUAACGCGUGGGAACCUGCCCUUAGGUUCGGAAUAACUCCCCGAAAGGGGUGCUAAUACCGGAUAAUGUCUUCGGACCAAAGAUUUAUCGCCUUUGGAUGGGCCCGCGUUGGAUUAGCUAGUUGGUAGGGUAAAAGCCUACCAAGGCGACGAUCCAUAGCUGGUCUGAGAGGAUGAUCAGCCACACUGGGACUGAGACACGGCCCAGACUCCUACGGGAGGCAGCAGUGGGGAAUAUUGGACAAUGGGCGAAAGCCUGAUCCAGCAAUGCCGCGUGAGUGAUGAAGGCCUUAGGGUUGUAAAGCUCUUUUACCCGGGAUGAUAAUGACAGUACCGGGAGAAUAAGCUCCGGCUAACUCCGUG
rnacentral:rRNA from 1 species